CAGUAGCCGCGGUAAUACGAAGGGUGCAAGCGUUAAUCGGAAUUACUGGGCGUAAAGCGUGCGUAGGCGGUCUGUUAAGUCUGCUGUGAAAUCCCCGGGCUCAACCUGGGAAUGGCAGUGGAUACUGGCAAGCUAGAGUGUGUCAGAGGAUGGUGGAAUUCCCGGUGUAGCGGUGAAAUGCGUAGAGAUCGGGAGGAACAUCAGUGGCGAAGGCGGCCAUCUGGGACAACACUGACGCUGAGGCACGAAAGCGUGGGGAGCAAACAGGAUUAGAUACCCGAGUAGUCCCUGUCUCUUAUAC
rnacentral:rRNA from 1 species